rnacentral:rRNA from 1 species
UGGGGAAUAUUGGACAAUGGGCGAAAGCCUGAUCCAGCCAUGCCGCGUGUGUGAAGAAGGUCUUCGGAUUGUAAAGCACUUUAAGUUGGGAGGAAGGGCAUUAACCUAAUACGUUAGUGUUUUGACGUUACCGACAGAAUAAGCACCGGCUAACUCUGUGCCAGCAGCCGCGGUAAUACAGAGGGGGCAAGCGUUAAUCGGAAUUACUGGGCGUAAAGCGCGCGUAGGUGGUUUGUUAAGUUGGAUGUGAAAUCCCCCGGCUCAACCUGGGAACUGCAUUCAAAACUGACUGACUAGAGUAUGGUAGAGGGUGGUGGAAUUUCCUGUGUAGCGGUGAAAUGCGUAGAUAUAGGAAGGAACACCAGUGGCGAAGGCGACCACCUGGACUAAUACUGACACUGAGGUGCGAAAGCGUGGGGAGCAAACA